CAUGGUAGAUAUAUCAAAGAUUUAUCGCUUAGAGAUGGACUCGCGUCCGAUUAGUUAGUUGGUGAGGUAACGGCUCACCAAGACCGCGAUCGGUAGCCGGACUGAGAGGUUGAACGGCCACAUUGGGACUGAGACACGGCCCAGACUCCUACGGGAGGCAGCAGUGGGGGAUAUUGCGCAAUGGGGGAAACCCUGACGCAGCAACGCCGCGUGAAGGAUGAAGGUCUUCGGAUUGUAAACUUCUUUUAUUAAGGACGAAGAAAGUGACGGUACUUAAUGAAUAAGCUCCGGCUAACUACGUGCCAGCAGCCGCGGUAAUACGUAGGGAGCAAGCGUUGUCCGGAUUUACUGGGUGUAAAGGGUGCGUAGGUGGCUUUGCAAGUCAGAUGUGAAAUCUAUGGGCUCAACCCAUAGCCUGCAUUUGAAACUGCAGAGCUUGAGUGAAGUAGAGGCAGGCGGAAUUCCCCGUGUAGCGGUGAAAUGCGUAGAGAUGGGGAGGAACACCAGUGGCGAAGGCGGCCUGCUGGGCUUUAACUGACGCUGAGGCACGAAAGCGUGGGUAGCAAACAGGAUUAGAUACCCUGGUAGUCCACGCUGUAAACGAUGAUUACGAGGUGUGGGGGGUCUGACCCCUUCCGUGCCGGAG
rnacentral:rRNA from 1 species